CUCGUAGGCGGUUCGUCGCGUCCGGUGUGAAAGUCCAUCGCUUAACGGUGGAUCCGCGCCGGGUACGGGCGGGCUUGAGUGCGGUAGGGGGAGACUGGAAUUCCCGGUGUAACGGUGGAAUGUGUAGAUAUCGGGAAGAACACCAAUGGCGAAGGCAAGUCUCUGGGCCGUUACUGACGCUGAGGAGCGAAAGCGUGGGGAGCGAACA
rnacentral:rRNA from 1 species